rnacentral:rRNA from 1 species
UACGUAGGGAGCAAGCGUUGUCCGGAUUUAUUGGGCGUAAAGAGCUCGUAGGCGGCUUGUUACGUCGACUGUGAAAACCCGCGGCUCAACCGUGUGGUCUGCAGUCGAUACGGGCAGGCUAGAGUUCGGUAGGGGAGACUGGAAUUCCAGGUGUAGCGGUGAAAUGCGUAGAUAUCUGGAGGAACACCGGUGGCGAAGGCGGCAUCCUGGACCGGCAUUGACGCUGAGGCGCGAAAGCCAGGGGAGCAAAGCGGG